rnacentral:tRNA from 1 species
GCAUUCGUGGUUUAGUGGUAAAAUUAGCCGUUGCCAUCGGCUAGCCCCGGGUGCGUAUCUAUAACUCCUAGAGAUUCUGAAAUGCUUCUAAUAUGUAAAAAGGUUCGAUUCCCGGCGAAUGCA